AUUGAACGCUGGCGGCAUGCCUUACACAUGCAAGUUGAACGGCAGCAUGAUCUAGCUUGCUAGAUUGAUGGCGAGUGGCGAACGGGUGAGUAAUACAUCGGAACGUGCCCUGUAGUGGGGGAUAACUAGUCGAAAGAUUAGCUAAUACCGCAUACGACCUGAGGGUGAAAGUGGGGGACCGCAAGGCCUCAUGCUAUAGGAGCGGCCGAUGUCUGAUUAGCUAGUUGGUGGGGUAAAGGCCCACCAAGGCGACGAUCAGUAGCUGGUCUGAGAGGACGAUCAGCCACACUGGGACUGAGACACGGCCCAGACUCCUACGGGAGGCAGC
rnacentral:rRNA from 1 species